GAUUCAAGUGAUGAGAUUGGAUCUAAAAUUCUCACGACGGUCGUCUGAUUCUAAUGAUGCACCGAUCCUUAUACUCUGAAGAUA
rfam:Brassica rapa chromosome A2, whole genome shotgun sequence.